GAUGAAGAACGUAGCGAAAUGCGAUAAGUAAUGCGAAUUGCAGAAUUUCCGUGAGUCAUCGAAUCUUUGAACGCACAUUGCGCCCAUUGGUAUUCCGAUGGGCAUGCCUGUUCGAGCGUCAUUUCACCACUCAAGCCUCGCUUGGUAUUGGGCAACGCGGUCCGCCGCGUGCCUCAAAUCGUCCGGCUGGGUCUUCUGUCCCCUAAGCGUUGUGGAAACUAUUCGCUAAAGGGUGUUCGGGAGGCUACGCCGUAAAACAACCCCAUUUCUAAGGUUGACCUCGGAUCAGGUAGGGAUACCCGCUGAACUUAAGCAUAUCAAUAAGCGGAGGA
rnacentral:misc_RNA from 1 species